GGUCUAUUGGCUCAAUGGUAGAGCACCUGUCUCCUAAACAGGAGGUUGUGGGUUCGAGUCCCAUGUAGAUCG